rnacentral:sRNA from 1 species
UUUUAGCCCCGAUGGAAAUGACAUCCUUUUUGUUGCCUGAGUAGGUUCCUGAGCUUGUCGAAGGAUCGAGGGCAACAAAAAGAUAUAAUGGACAGCGGGAAAUACG